ACCUGGCUGGUUCAAUGGGUAGAGCAUGGGACUCUCAAUCUCAGGGUCAUGAGUUCGAGCCCCAUGUUGGGCA